GAAACUGGGGAUAAUUCCGGAUAACGCAUAUUUGCUGGAAUGCUUUAUGCGUCAAAAGGAUUCGUCUGCCCAAGGAUGGGUCUGCGGCCUAUCAGGUAGUAGUGGGUGUAAUGUACCUACUAGCCCGCGACGGGUACCGGUUGUGAGAGCAAGAGCCCGGAGAUGGAUUCUGAGACAUGAAUCCAGGCCCUACGGGGCGCAGCAGGCGCGAAAACUUUACAAUGCGGGAAACCGUGAUAAGGGGACACCGAGCGCCAGCAUCAUAUGCUGGCUGUCCGGAUGUGUAAAAUACAUCCCUUAGCAAGGGCCGGGCAAGACCGGUGCCAGCCGCCGCGGUAACACCGGCGGCCCGAGUGGUGAUCGUGAUUAUUGGGUCUAAAGGGUCCGUAGCCGGUUUGGUCAGUCCUCCGGGAAAUCUGAUAGCUCAACUAUUAGGCUUUCGGGGGAUACUGCCAGACUUGGAACCGGGAGAGGUAAGAGGUACUACAGGGGGUAGUAGUGACAUCUUGUACUCCCUGUGGGACCACCUGUGGCGAAGACGUCUUACCAGAGCGGGUUCUACGGUGAGGGACGAAAGCUGGGGGCACGAAACCGACUUUAAAUACCCGGGUAUCCCCAGCCGUAAACGAUUGCUCGCUAGGUGUCAAGGAUGGCUGUGACCAUGUAUGGUGCCGCAGGAAAACUCUUGUACCGAGGCACCUUGGGAAGUUUGCCCGGAGGGCUGAAACUUAAAGGGAUUUGUAGUGGAACUAC
rnacentral:rRNA from 1 species